rnacentral:lncRNA from 1 species
GUGCCCCUUAAUUGGAGUUCACAGUUUGGGUUUUAAUUAUGUUCAUGUGAUUUCCAAUUAUUAUAAUUUGAGGGAUGAGUUGGGAAGCAUGGUUCGUGGGAAACAUUGAGCAAACAUUGCUGUGGUAGCACAAAGAGGAAUUUGAAAAUGAUAUAUGAUUCUUGUCUCCUCUAUUCAUUUGCUAUAUACCAAGAAUAUCUCAACUACUAUGACGCUAACUUGUAUUCUCAUUUCUUAGUUAUCUUUAUUUUCAGAGAAAAACAAUGGCAGGUGAUGUAGAAACGAACCCCAAAAGCUCUCUGCAUAGUCGCAGCAACGACUAGCUUACCCUCGGCAUCACACCCUACCGUAUCACAUCAUCAAUAAGUCACACACUCGAUAACUUGCAGGAUUUGUAUAGGCACAUAUAAGCUACUCCACAUGACAAUUUCCCAACAAGCAUUGGCACGAUAAGGCAGCGAGAAACAAGUUGAUGAACUAUUUGAUGGAUCUAGUUAAAGAUUGUAUGGUGCAAUCAAAGGAUAUCAUGCAUGAACUAAGGUCAGUUAUUCUCAGGAGGAGAGCUGUGGAAAGUGGAAUCACAGUUGAGGGUGGAAGGAAAAUACUUGUCAUAUAGGAAGAAGAUGAAGAAAGCUAUUGCAGAGGCACUUGGAAACUUGAAAGCAAUGAAAAAUGAGUCCACAGUUUCUUUUCUUCCGCAAACAAAGACAUGGAAACUUUUUCGAUCUUGAAAGAAGCCCAAGAUGUCACAGUUAACUCAUUAGAGUCUGUGUGGUUGAUUAAAGCAGAGCAAGUGGUCAACACUCUUGUGGUCUCAAAGAAAAUCUUGUGGUCAACACAUUAAAAAUCUUGUAUAUUUUUUUUUGGAAUAAAUGUCAUCUUUAUUACCAUUUAGAUCAAGGUAGUUUCCCCUAUGAAUGAGUCAGUGGUUAGAACUAACAAAAUAGUUGCCAAGUUGAUACAUUAAUAUGGUCAUGGCAGACAAGUUCAUAAACUGAACUCUGUUUAAUAAUUGAAACAGCUCCUCAUCCAGAAAAUAUCUUCCAUUAUCGAUAAUCUACAGGAUUGGAAAAUUGAUGAUUAAGGUUUAAGAAGGAUAGGUGCAUCGAAAGCGUUGCAAGGCAUAUGAGGAAGUUCUUCAUGUCAUGUCUCCCUUGUGAUUCCAUUGGAUUCUCAAUAUGAAAACAAAACUGAGAUCAGAAUCAAUAUAUGAAUAUAAUAUAAUUGCACUGCACACUCAUUGUGUUACACAUUUAAAUAUAUAGAAUGAAAUGCUAUCGAAAAACCAGAGAGAUAAACACGUUACCGACAGUAUUUCAGCAAUU